GCGCAAAACGGAGGCGCAUGGUUCCCCGACGCGGUGCAAAGCACCCGGGGAUGAAAUGGGAAUGACGGUGAAGGUGACCCACCCCGGGGCCUGAGUCCGCAGCCGCCCCCGCGACUGUAAGCGGUGAGCGCGCGCCCGAUCGCCACUGGCCCGCAAGGGCCGGGAAGGUGGGCACAGCGCUACGACCCGCAAGCCAGGAGACCAGCCUGCGAACCAUAACCCAA
rnacentral:ncRNA from 1 species